GCUUGUGUAGCUCAGGGGUAGAGCACACCCUUGGUAAGGGUGAGGUCGCGGGUUCAAUUCCCGCCACAAGCUCCA
rnacentral:tRNA from 2 species